rnacentral:rRNA from 1 species
CCUACGGGAGGCAGCAGUGAGGAAUAUUGGUCAAUGGACGAGAGUCUGAACCAGCCAAGUAGCGUGAAGGAUGACUGCCCUAUGGGUUGUAAACUUCUUUUAUAUGGGAAUAAAAUGUUCCACGUGUGGGAUUUUGUAUGUACCAUAUGAAUAAGGAUUGGCUAACUCCGUGCCAGCAGCCGCGGUAAUACGGAGGAUCCGAGCGUUAUCCGGAUUUAUUGGGUUUAAAGGGAGCGUAGGUGGAUUGUUAAGUCAGUUGUGAAAGUUUGCGGCUCAACCGUAAAAUUGCAGUUGAAACUGGAAGUCUUGAGUACAGUAGAGGUUGGUGGAAGUCGUGGUGUAGCGGUGAAAUGCUUAGAUAUCACGAAGAACUCCGAUUGCGAAGGCAGCUCACUGGACUGCAACUGACACUGAGGCUCGAAAGUGUGGGUAUCAAACAGGAUUAGAUACCCCGGUAGUC